rnacentral:sRNA from 1 species
CUCACAGCCCUGGAGUCUGAAGUAUUUUAUUUAUCCACAGAACAGAUAUAAGCACAGAUAGAAACUGAAUAAGCUCACAUCCUCCCUUCUAUCCUGUUUAUGUGACACAAUUACAUCAUGGUUGGGGAGGAAAAGGUAAUUCAUUCUUAAUACUCACUCAGUCUUUGGCCUAA